rnacentral:tRNA from 1 species
GUGAGGUCGACGAUGGUGUCCACGCCGCGCGACUUCAGUUCGUUCAGUCUGUCGAUGGCGUCGGCGACGCGACGUUCUUCGUCACCCCACGC